rnacentral:rRNA from 1 species
GUAGUCCACGCCGUAAACUAUGGAUGCUCGGUGUCGCGGCCUUAUGGUCGCGGUGCCUAAGCUAACGCGUUAAGCAUCCCACCUGGGGAGUACGUUCGCAAGAAUGAAACUCAAAGGAAUUGACGGGGGCCCGCACAAGCGGUGGAGCAUGUGGCUUAAUUCGAUGCAACGCGAAGAACCUUACCCAGGCUCGAACGUCAGUUGACAACCUCCGAAAAGAGGUCUCCUUCGGGCAAUUGGCGAGGUGCUGCAUGGCUGUCGUCAGUUCGUGUCGUGAGAUGUUGGGUUAAGUCCCGCAACGAACGCAACCCCUAUCGUUAGUUACCAGCGGGUCAAGCCGGGGACUCUAACGAGACUGCCUGCGCAAGCAGUGA